GCACCACUGGUGUAGUGGUAUCAUGCAAGAUUCCCAUUCCUGGGACCUGGGUUUAAUUCCCGGGUGGUGCA